UGGGUUCAAGCGAUUCUCCUGCCUCAGCUUCCCAAGGAGCUGGGACUACAGUAACAAUAGUCAAGGUGAACAGUAGAAAGAAUGGCAGCAGCACAUUUUGAGGAUGGACCUAGAAGCCAGUUGCCAGGAGCCCUAUUGCAGGCUCUGCUAGUACUAGGGAUGGAACUACAACUCCAACCGGCUGUAGCAAUGAAGAAAAUUUCCAGUUUCACAUCCUUCAAGGGUCCAGAGGUGGCUACAGAUUCAGGAGACAUGCACCAGGAGGAGCUGGCAAGUUUCCUUGGCAAGAACAGAUGAAUAAAUAAGAAGCAUGAGCUUGUGACUUUUAGCUGAGAUCUCCUCUCCGUGGUUCUCCACUGGGUGCUGUGCCUGGAGAUUGACUUUUGUGGACCACAUCAGUGAGAUUCAUUACUUUAUGGUCUCCCACUGGAUUCAGCCAACAAGAAGUGCUGUUUAAAAACUUGGAGAGUGGGGUGGGAGAGUCAUCUCGUGGUUUUCAUUUUCCAGGCUCCCUUCCUGCUGGCUCAUUACAUAUUAACUUCAUUCCUGUCCCAAAUGCUGUAGCUCCCAUCAGGAAGCCCUCUCCAGAUUCCACUAGCCUCACCAUUCCCUUGUCUCUUUAGGUCUAACAGGAUAAUGACUCCAGUCUGUUGCUAAUCCCAUGGGCUUCACUAUGCUUCAUUUGCUUUAUUCUUCCAUACAUUUGUAAGUAGUCCCUCAAUAAACUCUCUUCAAUUACUCCAUCUGUGUAAACCAGCUCUUUCAUGCUGACAUCCUGACCAACAUAUCACCUAUGUAAAAUAUGACACAUGCUACACAUGGGAUACAUUUACAUUCAAAUUAUGACAUAUUUAAGUAUAGCAUUUGUGAGGAAUAUAACAAAAACAAAUAGCCUUCUGAGAGGCUGGCUGGGUGAACACAGUAGCCAACAUUAACACAGCAAAAGAAUACAACUUAGGGGAACAAAAAUGUGACAUACAUUGGGGCAAAAGAAAUAAUGCAAAGGAAAAUCAUAUUAAAAGGCAAGGAAAAAAUUGCAAAAUCAGUGAGCAAUUUUGGGAAAAGUCCUCAGGGCCAAACAAUUAGAAUUCAAAUUGUGAACAACCAGGAAAUCCUAACAUCUAAAGGCUAGGAAAUUACAAAAAAGGAAAAAGUGGAAGAG